rnacentral:rRNA from 1 species
CUGGCUCAGGAUGAACGCUAGCGACAGGCUUAACACAUGCAAGUCGAGGGGCAGCAUAAAAGUAGCGAUACUUGGUGGCGACCGGCGCACGGGUGAGUAACGCGUAUGCAACCUACCUAUCAGAGGGGAAUAACCCGGCGAAAGUCGGACUAAUACCGCAUAAAACAGGGGCACCGCAUGGUGAUAUUUGUUAAAGAAAUUCGCUGAUAGAUGGGCAUGCGUUCCAUUAGGUAGUUGGUGAGGUAACGGCUCACCAAGCCGACGAUGGAUAGGGGAACUGAGAGGUUGGUCCCCCACACUGGUACUGAGACACGGACCAGACUCCUACGGGAGGCAGCAGUGAGGAAUAUUGGUCAAUGGGCGGGAGCCUGAACCAGCCAAGUCGCGUGAAAGGAAGAAGGAUCUAUGGUUCGUAAACUUCUUUUGCAGGGGAAUAAAGUGCAGGACGUGUCCUGUUUUGUAUGUACCCUGAGAAUAAGGAUCGGCUAACUCCGUGCCAGCCGCUGC